AGCAGCCGCGGUAAUUCCAGCUCCAAUAGCGUAUAUUAAAGUUGUUGCAGUUAAAAAGCUCGUAGUUGAAUUUCGGGAUUUAUCCGUCGGUCGGGCUUUUGGGUCUGUACUGGCGUGAUGAAUUCCUACCUUCUGAAUAACCAGCAUGCCAUUAAUUUGGUGCGCCGGGGAAGCAGGACUGUUACCUUGAAAAAUUAGAGUGCUUAAAGCAGGCUAUUGCCUGAAUACAUUAGCAUGGAAUAAUGAAAUAGGACGGCAUGGUUCUAUUUUGUUGGUUUCUAGGAUCACCGUAAUGAUUAAUAGGGAUAGUUGGGGGCAUUAGUAUUCAAUUGUCAGAGGUGAAAUUCUUGGAUUUAUUGAAGACUAACUUCUGCGAAAGCAUUUGCCUAAGGAU
rnacentral:misc_RNA from 1 species